rnacentral:rRNA from 1 species
UACGUAGGGUGCAAGCGUUGUCCGGAAUUAUUGGGCGUAAAGAGCUCGUAGGCGGUUUGUCGCGUCUGCUGUGAAAACCCGAGGCUCAACCUCGGGCCUGCAGUGGGUACGGGCAGACUAGAGUGCGGUAGGGGAGAUUGGAAUUCCUGGUGUAGCGGUGAAAUGCGCAGAUAUCGGGAGGAACACCAGUGGCGAAGGCGGCACUCUGGGCCAGUACUGACGCUGAGGAGCGAAAGCGUGGGGAGCGAACAGG